UACGUAGGGUGCAAGCGUUAAUCGGAAUUACUGGGCGUAAAGCGUGCGCAGGCGGUUUCGUAAGUCUGUCGUGAAAUCCCCGGGCUUAACCUGGGAAUGGCGAUGGAGACUGCGAGGCUAGAGUUUGGCAGAGGGGGGUAGAAUUCCACGUGUAGCAGUGGAAAUGCGUAGAGAUGUGGAGGAACACCGAUGGCGAAGGCAGCCCCCUGGGUCAAAACUGACGCUCAUGCACGAAAGCGUGGGGGAGCAAACAGG
rnacentral:rRNA from 1 species